rnacentral:rRNA from 1 species
UACGAAGGUGGCAAGCGUUACUCGGAAUUACUAGGCGUAAAGGGCAAGUAGGCGGUUUGGUUAGUCUAUUGUGAAAGCUCCCGGCUUAACCGGGAGAGGCCAAUGGAUACUGCCAGACUUGAGUAUGGGAGAGGGUACUGGAAUUCCCGGUGUAGCGGUGAAAUGCGCAGAUAUCGGGAGGAACACCGAUGGCGAAAGCAGGUACCUGGACCAUUACUGACGCUCAUCUGCGAAAGCUAGGGGAGCAAACAGG